rnacentral:rRNA from 1 species
UACGGGGGGGGCAAGCGUUGUUCGGAAUCACUGGGCGUAAAGGGCGCGUAGGCGGCCUUCUAAGUCGGACGUGAAAUCCCUCGGCUUAACCGAGGAACUGCGUCCGAUACUGAAAGGCUUGAAUCCGGGAGAGGGAUGUGGAAUUCCAGGUGUAGCGGUGAAAUGCGUAGAUAUCUGGAGGAACACCGGUGGCGAAGGCGGCAUCCUGGACCGGUAUUGACGCUGAGGCGCGAAAGCUAGGGGAGCAAACGGG